UACGUAGGGACCAAGCGUUGUUCGGAUUUACUGGGCGUAAAGGGCGCGUAGGCGGCUUGACAAGUCACUUGUGAAAUCUCCGGGCUUAACUCGGAACGGCCAAGUGAAACUGUCAUGCUAGAGUGCAGAAGGGGCAAUCGGAAUUCUUGGUGUAGCGGUGAAAUGCGUAGAUAUCAAGAGGAACACCUGAGGUGAAGACGGGUUGCUGGGCUGACACUGACGUGAGGCGCGAAAGCCAGGGGGAGCAAACAGG
rnacentral:rRNA from 1 species